AGAGUCAUCCUCCCUCUCCUCAUCAGAAGAUCUAUGUACAAUUUUUAAGUCCUCAUGGUAGAGGAUCCUCCAAAAAGUUAUCUAAUGAGAUAUUCUCCCUUUGUAGAUAGCUCUGCAACAUCAAAAUUUUUAAGAGGAUGCAUAAAGGAAAAAUCACCACCAUUAGGAGGGGUCUGAAUGUCCUAGACUCAAAGAUGUUAUUAUCAUUAGGUCCUUAAAGACCCUUAUUCUUCCAAC
rnacentral:lncRNA from 1 species